rnacentral:RNase_P_RNA from 1 species
GCCGCAGGCCGCCUUAUCGCUCCUGAGUAAAUCAGGGGAGGAAAGUCCGGACACCACAGGGAGGCAUAGCGGGUAACGCCCGUCGUUCCCGAUGCAAAUCGGGUUCAGGACAAGUGCAACAGAAAGUAUGUACAGGUCAUGCUGUAGUGAAACCAGGUAAACUCUAUGCGGUGAAAUUUCAAGUAUAUCGGCAUUUAAGGGCGUCCCGUCCGUUGCCGAAGGGUAGAAAGAUAGAUUUCGCUGGCAACAGCGGAGCCAGAUAAAUGAUAAGGGUCCUGGUAUGCAUCAGGAUACAGAAUCCGGCUUACAGGCCUGCAUUUUUU